AGACGUCUACAUUAGAUACCCGGGUAGUCCCAGCCGUAAACAAUGUGCGUUAGGUAUGUCGGUAACCACGUGUUACUGAUGUGCCGAAGAGAAAUCGUGAAACGCACCACCUGGGAAGUACGGUCGCAAGGCUGAAACUUAAAGGAAUUGGCGGGGAGCACCACAACGGGUGGAGCCUGCGGUUUAAUUGGACUCAACGCCGGGAAGCUCACCGGAUAGGACAGCAGAAUGAUUGCCGGGCUGAAGACCCUGCAUGACUAGCUG
rnacentral:rRNA from 1 species